rnacentral:lncRNA from 1 species
AUGAUGCUGAGACCUUAAUGGACAGAAUCAAGAAACAGCUACGUGAAUGGGAUGAAAAUCUAAAAGAUGAUUCUCUUCCUUCAAAUCCAAUAGAUUUUUCUUACAGAGUAGCUGCUUGUCUUCCUAUUGAUGAUGUAUUGAGAAUUCAGCUCCUUAAAAUUGGCAGUGCUAUCCAGCGACUUCGCUGUGAAUUAGACAUUAUGAAUAAAUGUACUUCCCUUUGCUGUAAACAAUGUCAAGAAACAGAAAUAACAACCAAAAAUGAAAUAUUCAGUUUAUCCUUAUGUGGGCCGAUGGCAGCUUAUGUGAAUCCUCAUGGAUAUGUGCAUGAGACACUUACUGUGUAUAAGGCUUGCAACUUGAAUCUGAUAGGCCGGCCUUCUACAGAACACAGCUGGUUUCCUGGGUAUGCCUGGACUGUUGCCCAGUGUAAGAUCUGUGCAAGCCAUAUUGGAUGGAAGUUUACGGCCACCAAAAAAGACAUGUCACCUCAAAAAUUUUGGGGCUUAACGCGAUCUGCUCUGUUGCCCACGAUCCCAGACACUGAAGAUGAAAUAAGUCCAGACAAAGUAAUACUUUGCUUGUAAACAGAUGUGAUAGAGAUAAAGUUAUCUAACAAAUUGGUUAUAUUCUAAGAUCUGCUUUGGAAAUUAUUGCCUCUGAUACAUACCUAAGUAAACAUAACAUUAAUACCUAAGUAAACAUAACAUUACUUGGAGGGUUGCAGUUUCUAAGUGAAACUGUAUUUGAAACUUUUAAGUAUACUUUAGGAAACAAGCAUGAACGGCAGUCUAGAAUACCAGAAACAUCUACUUGGGUAGCUUGGUGCCAUUAUCCUGUGGAAUCUGAUAUGUCUGGUAGCAUGUCAUUGAUGGGACAUGAAGACAUCUUUGGAAAUGAUGAGAUUAUUUCCUGUGUUAAAAAAAAAAAAAAUCUUAAAUUCCUACAAUGUGAAACUGAAACUAAUAAUUUGAUCCUGAUGUAUGGGACAGCGUAUCUGUACCAGUGCUCUAAAUAACAAAAGCUAGGGUGACAAGUACAUGUUCCUUUUGGAAAGAAGCAAGGCAAUGUAUAUUAAUUAUUCUAAAAGGGCUUUGUUCCUUUCCAUUUUCUUUAACUUCUCUGAGAUACUGAUUUGUAAAUUUUGAAAAUUAGUUAAAAUAUGCAGUUUUUUGAGCCCACGAAUAGUUGUCAUUUCCUUUAUGUGCCUGUUAGUAAAAAGUAGUAUUGUGUAUUUGCUCAGUAUCUGAACUAUAAGCCCAUUUAUACUGUUCCAUACAAAAGCUAUUUUUCAAAAAUUAAUUUGAACCAAAACUACUACUAUAGGGAAAAGAUGCCAAAACAUGUCCCCUCACCCAGACUAAACUUGAUACUGUAUUAUUUUGUUCAAUGUAAAUUGAAGAAAAUCUGUAAGUAAGUAAACCUUAAGUGUGAAAC